rnacentral:snoRNA from 2 species
AUUAUAAUGAUGAAAAUAUUCAGGAAGUGCCGUCUGAGUUUACAUGUUGACGAUAAUGAAAUAAUCUGAACAUAAUUG